rnacentral:rRNA from 2 species
AGAGUUUGAUCCUGGCUCAGAUUGAACGCUGGCGGCAUGCCUUACACAUGCAAGUCGAACGGCAGCAUGAUCUAGCUUGCUAGAUUGAUGGCGAGUGGCGAACGGGUGAGUAAUACAUCGGAACGUGCCCUGUAGUGGGGGAUAACUAGUCGAAAGAUUAGCUAAUACCGCAUACGACCUGAGGGUGAAAGUGGGGGACCGCAAGGCCUCAUGCUAUAGGAGCGGCCGAUGUCUGAUUAGCUAGUUGGUGAGGUAAAGGCUCACCAAGGCGACGAUCAGUAGCUGGUCUGAGAGGACGAUCAGCCACACUGGGACUGAGACACGGCCCAGACUCCUACGGGAGGCAGCAGUGGGGAAUUUUGGACAAUGGGGGCAACCCUGAUCCAGCAAUGCCGCGUGUGUGAAGAAGGCCUUCGGGUUGUAAAGCACUUUUGUCCGGAAAGAAAUCGCACUUACUAAUAUUAGGUGUGGAUGACGGUACCGGAAGAAUAAGGACCGGCUAACUACGUGCCAGCAGCCGCGGUAAUACGUAGGGUCCAAGCGUUAAUCGGAAUUACUGGGCGUAAAGCGUGCGCAGGCGGUUGUGCAAGACCGAUGUGAAAUCCCCGGGCUUAACCUGGGAAUUGCAUUGGUGACUGCA